AGCGUAUAAGGAAAGUUUAAGCAAUUGUACAAAGCCGAAGGGUUCUCCGACUUACGAUGGAUAAAUUGAGUCUCAUAAAAGCUUUGGUGCGAGCAAGUAGGAGGAAAAUUUCGAUCGAAGUACAGGUAAACAAGUCAAAGAAUGUCACCUGUUUCUUGUGUAUUCUUGGGGAAAAUAGAAGUGUCUUAUAUUAUAUCGGAUUAGAAUAGUUUUAUCAUCAUUCCAACUAAUUUAUUAACAGAUUUUUCUUGAAUUCGAGGAUAAUGAUGUUAUUACCAGCUGAUUAAGGAGGAGUAUUGUAAGUGUCAGAUGGGUACGAACACCAUCUUGUGACUGCAUCACCUUUGGCUAAAGUACAAGAGAACUGCAGCAUCUAAGACUACAUGUACAUUGACUUUGAAUAAUCUAAGCAGUAUAUCCUCAAAAAGGCAACUCAAACACAGUGCAUAUAAUUUGGAAAAGAGACCAUCAAUCCACGGGGGGG